rnacentral:rRNA from 1 species
GAUGAACGCUAGCUACAGGCUUAACACAUGCAAGUCGAGGGGCAGCGGGGGCUUAGCUUGCUAAGCUUGCCGGCGACCGGCGCACGGGUGAGUAACGCGUAUCCAACCUGGCCCUCAGUAGGGAAUAGCCCGGCGAAAGUCGGAUUAAUGCCCUAUGUUCUCCUUUGCGGGCAUCUAACGAGGAGCAAAGAUUUAUCACUGAGGGAUGGGGAUGCGUCUGAUUAGCUUGCCGGCGGGGUAACGGCCCACCGGGGCGACGAUCAGUAGGGGUUCUGAGAGGAAGGUCCCCCACAUUGGUACUGAGACACGGACCAAACUCC